GUGUCAGCAGCCGCGGUAAUACGUAGGGGGCGAGCGUUGUCCGGAUUUAUUGGGCGUAAAGAGCUCGUAGGUGGUUUGGUUAGUCGGAUGUGAAAUCUCCAGGCUCAACUUGGAGGGGUCAUCCGAUACUGCCAUGACUAGAGUUCGGUAGAGGAGUGUGGAAUUCCUGGUGGAGCGGUGAAAUGCGCAGAGAUCAGGAGGAACACCCGUAGCGAAGGCGGCACUCUGGGCCGAUACUGACACUGAGGAGCGAAAGCGUGGGGAGCGAACAGGAUUAGAAACCCCAGUAGUCC
rnacentral:rRNA from 1 species